GAUGAACGCUGGCGGCGUGCCUAAUACAUGCAAGUCGAGCGAACAGACGAGGAACUUGCUCCUCUGACGUUAGCGGCGGACGGGUGAGUAACACGUGGAUAACCUCCCUAUAAGACUGGGAUAACUUCGGGAAACCGGAGCUAAUACCGGAUAAUAUAUUGAACCGCAUGGUUCAAUAGUGAAAGACGGUUUUGCUGUCACUUAUAGAUGGAUCCGCGCCGCAUUAGCUAGUUGGUAAGGUAACGGCUUACCAAGGCAACGAUGCGUAGCCGACCUGAGAGGGUGAUCGGCCACACUGGAGCUGAGACACGGUCCAGACUCCUACGGGAGGCAGCAGUAGGGAAUCUUCCGCAAUAGGCGAAAGCCUGACGGAGCAACGCCGCGUGAGUGAUGAAGGUCUUCGGAUCGUAAAACUCUGUUAUUAGGGAAGAACAAAUGUGUAAGUAACUAUGCACGUCUUGACGGUACCUAAUCAGAAAGCCACGGCUAACUACGUG
rnacentral:rRNA from 1 species